rnacentral:rRNA from 1 species
UACGAAGGGUGCAAGCGUUACUCGGAAUUACUGGGCGUAAAGGGUGCGUAGGUGGUUCUUUAAGUCUGCUGUGAAAUCCCCGGGCUCAACCUGGGAAUGGCAGUGGAUACUGGAGAGCUAGAGUGCGGUAGAGGGUAGUGGAAUUCCCGGUGUAGCAGUGAAAUGCGUAGAGAUCGGGAGGAACACCAGUGGCGAAGGCGGCGAUCUGGGAAGAUACUGACGCUGAGGUGCGAAAGCGUGGGGAGCAAACAGG